rnacentral:rRNA from 1 species
AUUGAACGCUGGCGGCAUGCCUUACACAUGCAAGUCGAACGGUAACAGGUCUUCGGAUGCUGACGAGUGGCGAACGGGUGGGUAACGCAUCGGAACGUGCCCAGUAGUGGGGGAUAGCCCGGCGAAAGCCGGAUUAAUACCGCAUACGACCUGAGGGUGAAAGGGGGGGAUCGCAAGACCUCUCGCUAUUGGAGCGGCCGAUGUCAGAUUAGCUAGUUGGUGGGGUAAAGGCCUACCAAGGCAACGAUCUGUAGUUGGUCUGAGAGGACGACCAGCCACACUGGGACUGAGACACGGCCCAGACUCCUACGGGAGGCAGCAGUGGGGAAUUUUGGACAAUGGGCGCAAGCCUGAUCCAGCAAUGCCGCGUGCAGGAAGAAGGCCUUCGGGUUGUAAACUGCUUUUGUCAGGGAAGAAAUCUUCUGGGUUAAUACCUCGGGAGGAUGACGGUACCUGAAGAAUAAGCACCGGCUAACUACGUGCCAGCCGCCGCCGUAA